rnacentral:rRNA from 1 species
GGGAAACUGCCUGAUGGAGGGGGAUAACUACUGGAAACGGUAGCUAAUACCGCAUAACGUCGCAAGACCAAAGAGGGGGACCUUCGGGCCUCUUGCCAUCAGAUGUGCCCAGAUGGGAUUAGCUAGUAGGUGGGGUAACGGCUCACCUAGGCGACGAUCCCUAGCUGGUCUGAGAGGAUGACCAGCCACACUGGAACUGAGACACGGUCCAGACUCCUACGGGAGGCAGCAGUGGGGAAUAUUGCACAAUGGGCGCAAGCCUGAUGCAGCCAUGCCGCGUGUAUGAAGAAGGCCUUCGGGUUGUAAAGUACUUUCAGCGGGGAGGAAGGUGUUGAGGUUAAUAACCUCAGCAAUUGACGUUACCCGCAGAAGAAGCACCGACUAACUCCGUGCCAGCAGCCGCGGUAAUACGGAGGGUGCAAGCGUUAAUCGGAAUUACUGGGCGUAAAGCGCACGCAGGCGGUCUGUCAAGUCGGAUGUGAAAUCCCCGGGCUCAACCUGGGAACUGCAUUCGAAACUGGCAGGCUAGAGUCUUGUAGAGGGGGGUAGAAUUCCAGGU